UACGGAGGGGACUAGCGUUGUUCGGAAUUACUGGGCGUAAAGCGCACGUAGGCGGCCUUGUAAGUUAGAGGUGAAAGCCCGGGGCUCAACUCCGGAAUUGCCUUUAAGACUGCAUCGCUCGAAUUGUGGAGAGGUAAGUGGAAUUCCGAGUGUAGAGGUGAAAUUCGUAGAUAUUCGGAAGAACACCAGUGGCGAAGGCGACUUACUGGACACAUAUUGACGCUGAGGUGCGAAAGCGUGGGGAGCAAACAGG
rnacentral:rRNA from 1 species